rnacentral:lncRNA from 1 species
CUCUUAUGUUUUGAAGCGGUGUCUGGUUUGAAAAUUAAUUUGGGAAAGUCUGAGGCUAUUCCAGUUGGGGAGGUUAAUAAUGUCGAGGAGCUGGCUGAUAUAUUGGGUUGUAAGGUUGCGCAGUUGCCGAUGUCAUAUCUAGGACUCCCAUUAGGGGCACGAUUUAAAAGUACCCAUAUCUGGAAUGGUAUUGUGGAAAGGAUGGAGAGAAGGUUAGCAGGGUGGAAGCGUAUGUACCUUUCUAAGGGUGGUAGACUUACUCUCAUUAAAUCCACUCUCUCCAAUCUCCCUACUUACUUUUUGUCAUUGUUCCCCAUUCCGAUAGCAGUGGCAAAGAGACUAGAGAGGCUUCAAAGAGAAUUUCUGUGGGCAGGGUUGGGAGAGGAGAGGAGACUCCAUUUGGUCAAUUGGGGAGUUGUUUGUUUGCCGAUGAGGAUGGGAGGUCUUGGGGUGAGGAGCCUUGUGUUGUUCAAUAAAGCCUUAUUAGGCAAGUGGUUGUGGCGAUUUGGAGUGGAAAGGGACAGUUUCUGGAGAGAAAUAAUUG